GUGCUUCUACUUUGUCCUAAAAUGGUGGCCAUGAGGUACCCCGCAAAAAGACAGGAUGGUUUCUAUAUCCAUUUAAACUGUCAAGUGAGGACAGAAGCAUGGCUUUGUUUACCACUUUCUAGAGCAGAGAUAGAUUUGGGCAAAAGUGUAUUAUCAGGGAGUCCCACAGAAGCCGUAUUCUGGAAACACACAGAAUUAAUGAGUACUUCUGGUGGUAGCCCUGGAGGCUAGCAAUGUAUUUUUGAUCUUGCCUUUGAUUUGCUAAAUUUUUAAAAUGUAGUUUUCAUCCUAGCUCAUGCUAGUGUCAGUGCGUGUGAGAACUAAAUUAGUGUUUGUUCAUCCAGAGUUGCUUCCACCAGAUGGAAACAGUGACAUUCAGCCUGUCCUGGGGAUAUAGCUGUCAGAGAAAAAGUAAAGAGCCAUUAGCUGGUGAUGUUUCUGGAUAUUACUGAUGUGGAUGAGAGUUGAUCUUGUAUUUUUUAUCAUUAAUUUGUGAGAAGUUACUGUUGUGGCUUUUGUCUAAACUGUAUUAAUCUAAAUUGUUAAUUAUGCAAACUUUUUUACACAUAUAUUACCCUUCUGUAUAUAUUCAGGGAAAAAUAAAUCUGUAAUACUAAAGUGAAUUAAUCAUAAAUCUAGCUCUGUAGCUUUAGGAAAGACAGCCUAUCACCAUGUCUUCCCAUUAGGAAAAGAGAAUAGUUGAGAUUUAUUACACUGUUUUUCACAAGUGUAGAUUUCAUAGUACAGUGGACUGAGAUGCCAGCAAAAUGUAACUAGGGACUCUUCUAGUAUCUUAGUAUAUGUUUUUUAAAUGCUUUUUCCUAUCAAACAUGGCCCAUGAUCUGUUGUGAAGCCACUGAUGGAUUAUCUAUCGAGUCCUCUACUAUGAUGAGUAAAAGCUCUGUGAAACAGUGACAAGUUACAAGACAGUUUCCUUAAAAUUCAGCACCAGCAGAUUGUCUUUGAAGUGAACUUCCCUGCAUAUUUUUUCUGAUAAUAUUUGGCUGGGGAGAAUUCUCUCUUUAUCAAAGGUCUGUUACCCCAGAGCCAAGAUGUUGAUGGCUGAUGAAAGUGCUACAGCGCCUUGUUACACUCAGCAGCUUAAAAGUCAAUAAAAACUGUUUUUUUUCUUGUUGCACUCUUUUCUUCCUUUUCUUUGGAGGUGUUUGCUAUAGGCAAGGUAAGCUAUUAAAUGCUUCUUUAAUCUGAAUCAGAAGACUUUUCACACAAGGUUUAAUAUUUUCUUUUUAAGUAGCCUGUUAUAUGUCGAAGGAAAGCUAAAGACUAGAGAGGCUUCAUUUAUCUUACCAAUGACAAGAACUGAGAAAAAAAUUAACAAUUUCAGUGUAUUGUUGAUGAAUGUUGUUCCUGUGAAUAAAAAGAUGUGGACAGCAGUUGUGGACACUAUUCUUUGAGAACAAUGGCUAUAUACAGUACUUUAAUAGAACUGUAAAGGCAUGGGUGAUCAAUACAGGGUAAGAGUUGUUAAAAUUAAGACUUUGAGUGGAAACCAGGCUGGGAAAAAUGUAACCCUUGCAUCUUAUUUGGGAAGAAACCAACAGUCCUUGGAUUUGGGUCAUUUCAUUACUGUCCUAGGAAAUCCAGGGUCAUCAGGUUAAACAAUGGGCUUGGAAAGUUUUGUAAGUCGUUUGUUGAUCCACGAUUUUGGAAAAUACCUCGUUGUAGGUCUCUCUUUC
ensembl:lncRNA